rnacentral:misc_RNA from 1 species
ACAGAAGCGUGCCAACUCCCCUCGGUAACAUUAUGAAGAUUCAUUUUCUUUUCAGCUGCUAAGAACCUAUUUGCUUGUGGAAAAGAGUUCUCUAUUUUUCGUUUUUCAUUUUGUAAGAAAACUAUACUUUUCAUUUUUUAUGGAAAACAAAAGAAAAUAUAAAAAAUGCAUUCAAUUUAUAGUAUAAUUUUGGUUAUAGAAAAGUCGUUUUUUUUCUAUUUGGAAAACAUGACUUUUUUUUUACAAAGAAAAUAGUGGAAACAGCUUAAAAUUGUCUUUCAAAUCUUAGUUAAAUUUUGAAAAAGGGGCAAAUGUGAACAUGAAAAUCUGUUUUCCAAUUUUAUUAGGAAACUUUUCUAGAAAACUACUGCAGUUUUCCACAAUUGAACAGAUUUUAGGACUUGUAAAGUUAACUUGAUAUUGUAUAUGCUUGCUGUUUAUUGGUCUGAAUCAGAGGUUCUACCUGUUUCCGUUGUAAGUCAUGCUUCAUUUUUAUUUGGGAAUUUUUUAAAGGAUUUUUAGCAUUUAGUCUUCAGUGUGCUUUACAAUGGAUAAUCUAGUCAUCUUUUGUGGGCUUUGUGGAUGGGAGGGCUUAUUUGGGUGGGUCAACACCAAGAAGCUCAUUUUGAUAGCCAUGCAAAUGUGUAAAUUUAGGGGUGUAAAGGAGCUGAGCUGAGCUUUCAAUAGCUUUUUUCAGAAGCUCAAGCUUGGCUUGAACUUGACUUCAGCUUUAACUUUAGUGCUUGAGCUGGGAUAAUUUAAAAUAAAAUAUAAUCAAGCUCAACUUGUUUUACGCUCAUUUAUAAUUUAAAAAAGUUAACCUCGAAUUUGACUUGUUGAUAAUAGAAACGAGCUAAGCUCAAGCGUAGCUUGUUUAUAAUAGAAAUGAGCCAAGCUUGAGCUCAAGCUUUUUACUAUUUUAGUGCUCAUUUCCAAAUCACAAUAUUUAAUGCUAGUUCGAUAUUAAUAAUACAACCGAGAGAGAAGAUAGAAGUGUUAAGCUCAUAUGAACUAGCUUGAACUCAGCUUUUUUACUAUUUUAUUGCAUAUUUUCAAAUCACAAUAUUUUAUGAUAGUUCGUUAUUAGUAAUACAACAGAGAGUGAAGAGAAAAGCUGUGGAGCAAUAGUCAACAUAAGAGAAGGAAGAAGAAUAAACGAAUGGAGAAAUAGAGAGGAGACCUGCAAUGCAAAGCAGGUCACAACAAAUUGGGCAUUGGAUUAAGAAUAUAACAAAUAGAUCCAAUAAGCCUGAUAGAAAACAGAUCCCUUUUCUAGUAAACAAGGAUUUAGUACAUUCUUUCCCUUCCUAGUCUUCAAAACUGAGCACAUCUGCUGCAAGCAAUGAAUCUACUUAACAGUCCUUAUUAACAAAGCUAAUAAAUAAUUGGUACAAAUAU